CAGAGACUGCAAGCGUUAUUCGGAUUCACUGGGCGUAAAGGGUGCGCAGGCGGCCAUGUGUGUGAGGCGUGAAAGCCCGGGGCUUAACCCCGGAAUUGCACCUCAAACUACAUGGCUAGAGCAUUGGAGAGGGUAGCAGAAUUCAUGGUGUAGCAGUGAAAUGCGUAGAUAUCAUGAGGAAUACCAGAGGCGAAGGCGGCUACCUGGACAAUUGCUGACGCUCAGGCACGAAAGCGUGGGGAGCAAAAGGGAUUAGAUACCCCUGUAGUCCACGCCCUAAACGGCGCACACUAGGUCUUGGCGGAUUCGACCCCCCCAGGGCCCAAGCUAACGCGUUAAGUGUGCCGCCUGAGGACUACGGCCGCAAGGCUA
rnacentral:rRNA from 1 species